rnacentral:rRNA from 1 species
GACGAACGCUGGCGGCGUGCUUAACACAUGCAAGUCGAACGGAAAGGCCCUGCUUUUGUUGGGUGCUCGAGUGGCGAGCGGGUGAGUAACACGUGAGUAACCUGCCCUUGACUUUGGGAUAACUUCAGGAAACUGGGGCUAAUACCGGAUAGGAGCUCCUGCUGCAUGGUGGGGGUUGGAAAGUUUCGGCGGUUGGGGAUGGACUCGCGGCUUAUCAGCUUGUUGGUGGGGUAGUGGCUUACCGAGGCUUUGACGGGUAGCCGGCCUGAGAGGGUGACCGGCCACAAUGGGACUGAGAUACGGCCCAGACGCCUACGGGAGGCAGCAGUGGGGAAUAUUGCACAAUGGGCGGAAGCCUGAUGCAGCAACGCCGCGUGCGGGAUGACGGCCUUCGGGUUGUAAACCGCUUUCGCCUGUGACGAAGCGUGAGUGACGGUAAUGGGUAAAGAAGCACCGGCUAACUACGUG